UCCCUGGUGGCUCAGACGGUAAAGCGUCUGCCUGAAAUGCAGGAGACCCGGGUUCAAUUCCUGGGCUGGGAA
rnacentral:tRNA from 1 species